CUGUUUGAAGCACCAAUGUUCUGCAAAGCCAUCUUUGAUUAAGAGGUUGUGCUCAAGACUAUCACUGAUACAAACUGAUAUUGCCUGUUUGGAGACUUUCAGUAACAAAGGACUUGAUUUCUUUGGUCAGCAAAGGUUGCAUCAACAAGCAACCGUGAAGAUCAGCGUGUCUGCUAAAUGAAACAAGAUGCAUACAGAUGAUUUUCUGGUCCAGUAAAGGUCGUUCCUUUUCCCGUGAGAGCAGACAAUGAUUUCCCA
rnacentral:lncRNA from 1 species